UUGAAGCUGGCUACACUGGUCCAGUGACUGGAGUUGAUCCUUAGGCUCUGAUGUUUCAAUUUCUACUACUGGUUCUGGUACGACCACUGAACUUACUGGAUUAUAUGGCUUGACCUCAGAAGAAUUCCUGCUUUUGUAGACCUUUGAUCAAUCCAGUGAGAACCUGAUUAGAUGCCAUGAAUUCACGAUCCUUCAUUAAAUUCAGCAGUCUCGAGAAUGGUGGCGCCGUGAGGUGACGGUUAAUACCUGCUCGAAUACCAACUAGUGCUGAUUUGGAGUAGUUUCCACCUUUCCUGCUCUGCAGACAAGCAUAAAAUUGCUGAAGAAGCGUGUCCAGUGUUGUCGGAUCCAGGUCUUCAAAUGAUUCAUUCAGAUACUCAUUUUCAGACAUCCAGGCUGAAAAAUCAACAAAAAGAAUCUUUUACUGGAGGGAUUAUUUAUGAAGUCAUUAGAAAAAUAUAGAAAAGUGGAAACUUCGAAGGUGAUAUUUUAAAAUUUAGUGAUUUUUUUUAUUCUGAUGGAAAAGUGUUGGAUUUAAAACAUAAAGGAAAAAUAUUAAAGUAAGUGCUACAAACAAAACUGAUAAACUGUUGGUAUAGACUGGAUCACUGAUGCAUUGGAUUGCCUUAUUAGCCUGUGUACAGUAAUGCCACCUGUCACACAAAUGAUACUUUCUGAACAUUUACGGUACUUUGUGCACACACAGGUGAACUGUCAGUCUUUUGAAAUACACUCAAAUUGUGUAAUAAAUUGUUUUAGAUCUAGUUUCUACAUUUAUCAAAAUUUCACCCGUAUAAGCAUUCCAAGAGCUUUCAGACUGAGAAAUGGAUACGCAUAUAAGGAUUUUGAGCCCAAGUUAUGUAAAAGCUCAUUAUCUCCAGGGUUGGUGCAUUUUUAGGGAUAGUUAUGGUACUUUAUGUUAAAUUUCCUUUACUGAUUUUUGAAAUUAUAUUCUUAGUAAUCAAUAUAUUCUAAGUAUUAAAGUAAUCAAUGAG